UCCCUGCUGGCUCAGAUGGUAAAGCAUCUGCCUGCAAUUCGGGAAACCUGGGUUCGAUCCCUGGGUUGGGAA
rnacentral:tRNA from 1 species